rnacentral:rRNA from 1 species
UACGGAGGAUCCAAGCGUUAUCCGGAUUCAUUGGGUUUAAAGGGUGCGUAGGUGGAAUGGUAAGUCAGUGGUGAAAUCCUGCGGCUUAACUGCAGAACUGCCAUUGAUACUGCCAAUCUUGAGUACAUAUGAAGUGGGCGGAAUGUGUCAUGUAGCGGUGAAAUGCUUAGAUAUGACACAGAACACCGAUUGCGAAGGCAGCUUACUAAAUUGUAACUGACGCUGAGGCACGAAAGCGUGGGGAUCAAACAGG